rnacentral:rRNA from 1 species
AUGAAGAUGAAGCGAUGCAUCGUUCCUAGCAUCCUGCUGAUGCUUUCACUGGAGGCGGCCCUCCUCGUCGCCGGCCGCCCCUCUGUCGACGGCGAGGUGGGUGCCAUUCUCCUGCCGAGCCAAGGCCAAGUCAUGGCGGCGCCCAAGAGGCCGUGGAAGUGCUGCGACCGGGCGCGGUGCACCAGGUCGAUCCCGCCGAUCUGCACCUGCAUGGACGAGGCUUUCGAGUGCGCCUCCACCUGCAAGGCAUGCGUGCCGUCGACGCGCAACCCGUCCCUCCAGGUCUGCCAGGACCAGUUCGUCGGCGACCCGGGGCCCAUCUGCCGGCCGUGGGAGUGCUGCGACUCGGCCGCGUGCACCAAGACCGACCCGCCGACGUGCCGCUGCGGGGACGAGGUCGAGCAGUGCGCUCCGACCUGCAAGACGUGCGAGCCGUCCACGUCGGACCCAUCCCUCAACGUCUGCAAGGACGCGUACACCGGGGCCAUCCCGCCCACGUGCACGCCGCCAGAGGCUCUUGCCGCCGGCGGUAACUAG